rnacentral:tRNA from 1 species
GGGGUGGUAGCUCAGUGGUAGAGCACUCCCCUGAAAUGGGAGAGGCAUUGGGUUUGAUCCUUAGCACCACA